rnacentral:rRNA from 1 species
UACUCCCGCCGGCGACCGGCGCACGGGUGAGUAACACGUAUGAAACCUGCCCGUAGCAGGGGGAUAAGCGGAAGAAAUUCCGUCUAAUACCGCGUAACAACCCGAGGAGGCAUCUCCUCGGGUUUAAAGGAAGCGAUUCCGGCUACGGAUGGUCAUGCGUCGUAUUAGCUAGUUGGCGGGGUAACGGCCCACCAAGGCGACGAUGCGUAGGGGUUCUGAGAGGAAGGUCCCCCACACUGGUACUGAGACACGGACCAGACUCCUACGGGAGGCAGCAG